rnacentral:tRNA from 1 species
GCAUUGGUGGUUUAGUGGUAGAAUUCUUGCCUCCCAUGCAGGAGACCCUGGUUCAACUCUCAGCCAAUGUA